UUAUCGGCUGAGUAUAAACUCACGUUGACUGGUAAGAGGUAAGCCAUGGCCGCGUUCGAUCCACUAGCCUUCGUUUGACAAAGAAAGAGUACAAUCUUGGCUGGAAGAACUCAUACUUUGAUCUAGACAUCAUACAAAAGAUUUCAGCCAUMAGGGACGUCAACUUCAGAAUCUUCCCGGACGCCAACUCGUCCUAAAUUCGAGUACAUCUAGUACACCUUGGACAGGAGGGAGAUCAACUCAGUUUGGAUUGUAAUAAUGAUGAUCAGGAGCCCCGUUGGAGACACAAUAUCAAGUUUGAAGCAAUGGAAGUAGAAAAAGAAGCAGAAACACCGAAGAGCACAAGCAACUGUACUCCACAGUACAGUUGCUUGUAAGCCCAAGGUAUUUUUAAAAGUGUAUUAGCAGCAUACAUAAGUUAAAAUUGUAAUCGAUCUCCUAUAAAUUCAAUUCAUAAUAUAAUUAUAACUUGAGCUUAGUAUGAUUUCAUAAGCUUACUUAAGCUGGCCAGGGCUUAUAUGAUUCUAUUAAUUAAUGUCUAGUUUGGUACGAUGAUUUUUUAAGCUUUAUAUCAUAACCAAAAUAAAUGCUGAAGUUAACACCACUAGUUGAUUUAAGACCAUUAAAAGGAGUUUUUUACAAUGCUUGUACAGUGUAUUUAUUAAUCUUAUAUAGUGAUCAGAAAUUUUAUUAAUUUUUGAGAAUUGUUGUUAUGAGAUGCAUUUCUUCAAUUGCUAUUUCAAAGGAAUUUAUAUUUUGUGUGUAAUCAUUUUUUCAUUGAAGUUCUUUUGUAACUGAGGUGUAUACAUGAUGUGUGCGAGGCUUCAGGUCUCGGUAUCGCAUCUUUACAUAUGUAUUGCUUGGUU